UCUCCUGUGUUGGGAGAUCUGCCUGGGGA
rnacentral:piRNA from 1 species